rnacentral:misc_RNA from 1 species
CAUACACUAUCGUCUAAUUGUAAUGCAGGCAACUUAAUAAUAACAGCCGGUUGACAUAGGUAAAUAUAAAUAAAUAUAUAUCACACAGAGGCGAACUGACAUGCCGUUGAACCAAAAAUCCGAGUCACUUUAAACUACACCAACGGGCUAGGAAGAUAGUAAUCGAUUUACCCCAUUUUAUUAUAGCUUAAUAGGCUAAGCCUAUAUAGGCGGAUAUUUUGCUGUCCCUGAUUUAUUUAAUCUCAGUCCUUUUGGCCACAAUCGGCUUAGCGACUUAGCGACAAAAGACAGAUGGACGUGAAUUUGAAUUUUUUGUCGAUUACCCUCGAAAUUUAACUUUGGAAAAUCUUAUA